rnacentral:rRNA from 1 species
GACUGCGUACCUUUUGUAUAAUGGGUCAGCGACUUAUAUUUAGUAGCAAGGUUAAGUGAAUAACGGAGCCGUAGCGAAAGCGAGUGUUAACUGCGCGUUUAGUUGCUAGGUAUAGACCCGAAACCCGGUGAUCUAGCCAUGAGCAGGUUGAAGAUUGGGUAACACUAAUUGGAGGACCGAACCGACUAAUGUUGAAAAAUUAGCGGAUGACUUGUGGCUGGGGGUGAAAGGCCAAUCAAACCGGGAGAUAGCUGGUUCUCCCCGAAAUCUAUUUAGGUAGAGCCUUGAGCGGACACCUUCGGGGGUAGAGCACUGUUUCGGCUAGGGGGUCAUCCCGACUUACCAAACCGAUGCAAACUCCGAAUACCAGUGAGUACUAUCCGGGAGACACACGGCGGGUGCUAACGUCCGUCGUGGAAAGGGAAACAACCCAGACCGCCAGCUAAGGUCCCAAAGUCUAUAUUAAGUGGGAAACGAAGUGGGAAGGCUUAGACAGCUAGGAUGUUGGCUUAGAAGCAGCCAUCAUUUAAAGAAAGCGUAAUAGCUCACUAGUCGAGUCGGCCUGCGCGGAAGAUGUAACGGGGCUCAAAUAUAGCACCGAAGCUGCGGCAUCAAUGGAAACAUUGUUGGGUAGGGGAGCGUUCUGUAAGCGGAAGAAGGUGCAUUGAGAAGUGUGCUGGACGUAUCAGAAGUGCGAAUGCUGACA